CAAUAGCGUAUAUUAAAGUUGUUGCGGUUAAAAAGCUCGUAGUUGGAUUUCUGCUGAGAACGACCGGUCCGCCCUUUGGGUGUGUAUCUGGCUCUUUCUUGGCAUCUUCUUGGUGAACGUUGCUGCACUUGACUGUGUGGAGCGCUACCCAGGACUUUUACUUUGAGGAAAUUAGAGUGUUUCAAGCAGGCAUACGCCUUGAAUACAUUAGCAUGGAAUAAUAAGAUAGGACCUCGGUUCUAUUUUGUUGGUUUCUAGAGCUGAGGUAAUGAUUAAUAGGGAUAGUUGGGGGCAUUCGUAUUUAACUGUCAGAGGUGAAAUUCUUGGAUUUGUUAAAGACAAACUACUGCGAAAGCAUUUGCCAAGGAUGUUUUCAUUGA
rnacentral:rRNA from 1 species